GAAGAUUACAAGGUAGGAUGGAAAGAAGGUUACAAGGUAGGAAGGUUACAAGGUAGGAUGGAAAGAAGGUUACAAGAUAAAAGGAAGGUAAGAAAAGACAACUAGAAAAGAAGGUCAGACACAAGCAGGAUGAUCACAAGGAAGGACACAAGGCAGGGAAAGAGGGAAGGAAAAAACGCAAGUGAGGAUGGUAGAACAUGAGGUAGGAUAGAAGAAAGGACACAUGGUGCAAUGGACGGCAGCACAAAUGAUCGGACAAGUAAGGAUGCAAAGCAGGAUGGAAGCAAAGAAAGAUGCAAGGUAGAAGGUAACGAAGGGAACAAGGAGGAUCAGAUUGAAGGAUAUGAGGUAAGAUGGAAGGACACAAGGUAGGAUUGUAGCAAAGACGACAUAAAAAAAGGAUGAAAGGAAGGACACAAGGAAGUAUGGGGGAAGGAUGGAUGGACAAAAAGAA